rnacentral:rRNA from 1 species
AUUGAACGCUGGCGGCAGGCCUAACACAUGCGAGUCGAGCGUAGCGGCUGACGGGUGAGUAAUGCCUAGGAAUCUGCCUGGUAGUGGGGGAUAACGUCCGGAAACGGGGGCUGAUAACGCAUACUCUAAGAAGAGCAUAGGUCGGAGUAGCUAUUUGGUGAGGUAAAGGCCUACCAAGGCGACGAUCCGUAACGGGUCUGAGAGGAUGAUCAGUCAUAUUGAAACUAGGACACGGACCAGGCUCCUCCAGAAGGCAGCAGUGUGUAAUAUUGGACAAUGGGCGAAGGCCUGACCCAGCCAUACGGCGUGUGGGAAGAAGGUAUUCGGAUUUUAAAGCACUUUAAGUUAAGCGGCGUAACCAACAGAAUAAGCACCAGCUAACUUCGUUCCAGCUACCGCGGUAAUAG